CCUACGGGAGGCAGCAGUGAGGAAUAUUGGUCAAUGGACGAGAGUCUGAACCAGCCAAGUAGCGUGAAGGAUGACUGCCCUAUGGGUUGUAAACUUCUUUUAUAUGGGAAUAAAAUGUUCCACGUGUGGGAUUUUGUAUGUACCAUAUGAAUAAGGAUCGGCUAACUCCGUGCCAGCAGCCGCGGUAAUACGGAGGAUCCGAGCGUUAUCCGGAUUUAUUGGGUUUAAAGGGAGCGUAGGUGGAUUGUUAAGUCAGUUGUGAAAGUUUGCGGCUCAACCGUAACAUUGCAGUUGAAACUGGCAGUCUUGAGUACAGUAGAGGUGGGCGGAAUUCGAGGUGUAGCGGUGAAAUGCGUAGAUAUCACGAAGAACUCCGAUUGCGAAGGCAGUUCACUGGACUGCAACUGACACUGAGGCUCGAAAGUGUGGGUAUCAAACAGGAUUAGAUACCCCAGUAGUC
rnacentral:rRNA from 1 species